GCGGCNUGUCUUAAGCAUGCAAGUCGAGCGGCAGGCGCAGCAAUGCGCUGAGAGCGGCGGAUUGGUGCGUAACGCGUGGGUAAUCUACCUUUGGCAUGGGGAUAGCCACUAGAAAUAGUGGGUAAUACCGAAUACGUUCCCUGGGGGGAGGUUUCAGGGAAGAAAGGGUGCUACGGCACCGGCCGGAGAUGAGCUCGCGUCCCAUUAGCUAGUUGGUGAGGUAACGGCCCACCAAGGCGAUGAUGGGUAGCCGGCCUGAGAGGGUGUACGGCCACACUGGGACUGAGAUACGGCCCAGACUCCUACGGGAGGCAGCAGCUAAGAAUAUUCCGCAAUGGACGAAAGUCUGACGGAGCGACGCCGCGUGGAUGAUGAAGGCCGAAAGGUUGUAAAGUCCUUUUGCUGGGGAAGAAUAAGUGUGGGAGGGAAUGCCCGCAUGAUGACAUG
rnacentral:rRNA from 1 species